rnacentral:rRNA from 1 species
AUGUAAUGUAAUGCCUACAACAAUAAUGCAUCAAAUCCUAUUAGAACUUUGUAGUUAAACACGCUUGGGCUAGAGUAGUAUUGGGAUGGGUGACCUCUCGGGAAGUCCUAGUGUUUUACAUG